GGAGCAAUCCAUGAGUAAAGUGGCGUACUGGUGAGUAACACGUGGGUAAUCUACCUCUGGGUGGGGAAUAACUCUGGGAAACCGGAGCUAAUACCGCAUAAGACCGUAAGGUGAAAGGUGAAAAUCGCCAAGAGAGGAGCCCGCGGCUGAUUAGCUAGUUGGUGGGGUAAGAGCUCACCAAGGCUGAGAUCGGUAGCCGGCCUGAGAGGGCACACGGCCACACUGGCACUGAAACACGGGCCAGACUCCUACGGGAGGCAGCAGUGAGGAAUCUUGCACAAUGGGGGAAACCCUGAUGCAGCGACGCCGCGUGAGCGAUGAAGCCCUUCGGGGUGUAAAGCUCUUUCGGCAGGGACGAUGAUGACGGUACCUGCAGAAGAAGCUGCGGCUAACUACGUGCCAGCAGCCGCGGUAAUACGUAGGCAGCGAGCGUUG
rnacentral:rRNA from 1 species